rnacentral:rRNA from 1 species
UAUUACCGCGGCUGCUGGCCUACGGGAGGCAGCAGUAGGGAAUAUUGGACAAUGGGCGCAAGCCUGAUCCAGCCAUGCCGCGUGAGUGAAGAAGGCCUUCGGGUUGUAAAGAUCUUUCAGUGGGGAAGAUAAUGACUGUACCCACAGAAGAAGCCCCGGCUAACUCCGUGCCAGCAGCCGCGGUAAU